rnacentral:lncRNA from 1 species
CAAGCUGUCUCCAGCACUGCUUGUGAGCCGGGCCCACGUUGCUGCCCAGGGACUCGGUGGUGAGGGAGGUGUGAUGUGUGAGUCCGCUGGGGCAGCCCUAGCGAGGCACACAGAGGCCACCUGGGAACCGAUGGUGUCCACUGAUGGAUGUUUUCCUGGGCUGAAGUAUUUCAGAUGCCCAGUGUACUCCCAGCCCUCACAGCGGUCAGUUCUGCUUCACGGGUUUCCCACAUGAUUUGGCUAAGACGUCAGCCGGCAAAGACGCUUGGGUUGGCUUUAGACAUUACGAAUAAAAGGAAGCUGCGGGAGGCGGUCAAAGUCUGAGACAUGACAGGUCAAAGCUGAAAUCACAGGGGGCUGCGUUGCCUUUUGAUGGGAGAGCCAGAGGCUGCAUUCCGAAGAUCGCACGAUGCCAGCUCCCAACUGCGAGGGGGCAGAUUUGUUGGGAUUUCUCAAAUCCAGUCUUUGAUACAUGCGUUGUUCCUUCAAUUGCUAAUAAACGGUCUUGGGGAG